ensembl:lncRNA
UUUACAAGAAGUUAAUCUUUAAAAUGGUAUAUAAUACUUGUAUGUUUGAGGAAUUUUAAUUAUGGGAUUUCUGUUGUUUUAAAUUUGGCGCCCUGCAAUUUCACUGGCUGUUGUCGAGGCGUCCCACUUCUACCAGAGAGGUUAAUGACUCCAACCUAAGUGUAUGUAAACUUCUGACUUCAACUGUAUGUGUGCCCGUGCAUCUAUCAAUCCAAUGUUAUCAUGAUUUGUUAUCAGGGAUAUUAUACUUUAGUAAUCCACAAUGACCUGGUGAUGUAACAGUCUAAUAUUUACAUUGUCUUCCAUAUUCCUACAGAUACCUUGUAACUGGAGAUUCCUUCAAAACGAUUGCCUACAGUUAACUUGUAGGGCACUGCAAGGUUAGGUGACCAUGGCCAUCUGGGACUGCCUCCUGGAGUAAUUCAGGUGUGUGGAGGCUACCUGUGUCCUGCACAACUUCAUGAGGAUGGACACGAGGACCAGGAGGGGAUCUGCAUCUCGCCACCAUGUGCCAGAGGAGAAGUCUGCUACUCUGCAGGACAUUUCAAGGAUGGGGUCCAACAACGCAGCAGGAGAGGUAGUCAGUGUGCAGGAGAUCUUCACCUCCUACUUCUUGGAAGAGGGUGCUGUUCCCUGGCAACACCAUAGACUACACUAUGCACCACCAGAGGCUCUUUUUAGAGCCAUUCACAUUGCAAUAUGAGUAUUCUUCCAUUUACUUAGCUAUGUCAACUGCAGUUAUUCAAUUCCCAGUUUCUCUUCCUUUUGAUUUCUACUUCUCAGGUGAGGGUGCUGUUUAGGUAAGGGUGUGAUGUCCGUACAAAAACCAAACAGGCUAUUUCAAAUCACUCAUAUUGAAAAAUGUCGCACAAUUAGACACCCUAUAACCCACACCUACACAUUCAUGUAUCAAUCUGAUUGAUGGAUUGUGUUGUGCAGUAAGCAGGCUCAGGUGUAUAAAUGUGGCUCCUUCCACCUUCAAAGAAUAGGCAAGAGGGCCAACCAUGGAGAAUAGUAAGACACUUCAUUAUUUCUAUAACUACGCUAUAUUGUUUGUCCUCGUGUGUCCAUUCAUGUUUUUCAGCAUAAAGUACUCUGCAGCCACUCAGUCUGGACACCAGGUGAGGCCACACACACAGAUUCCUGUUGAACACGGUCUCUUUAACUACCUUCUUUUCUCAAUAAGUCUCUCUCCUUCACUUCAUCCUUCACUUCAUCUCUCAUCUACUCCAUAAAUCCUCUAUGUUAUAUCAGCUGUGUCGGUGAACCCCUCCCGCAUCUGAACUGUCUACAUAGAGGGCACAGCAUGAUCAGAGAUAUGUUUUGAUGUGAGAGAAGAUGCCAACCCCUAGUCCCGUCAUCCCCACCUCGCCCGCUUUUACACCUCCCUCGCCACCUUCUCUUUCUUCCUCUGUUUUUAUGAUACACAACAGAUGUGCAUUGAAGUACAGUUUGAACUUGUAUUUAUAAUGUUACAAUUAUAAUAUUUAGAAUGCAU